UUUUAAAUAUGCAUUAAAUUUAACUUCUUUCAUUGCCCUCUAGAAUCUGUUUGCAUUUGGUGAUGUUGAUGGCGCAGGACGCGACGCUAAGCUACAGCAUCCACUGGGCCUAGCCUGGAACCCACUCAUAUAGCACCUGUAUGUCGCUGAUUCUUACAACCACAAGCUGAGGUUACCUUUCCAUCUACAAGUGAAGCACCAAUCAGUGAACUGGACUCAUGGUCGUCAUCAGGUCAGCCAAUCAAACCCCUUGUCUCAACCUUGUCUCAGUCUCAAGACUAUCUCAAGACCUUUUUGUGGUCUUGGUCUCGGUCUUGUCCUAUCAGAGUUUCAGUUUAUCAGUUUACAGUAGAGCUAUAGGCUUACAGUAUUGCAGUCAGGUUGUUUUAUAGCCUCUCUGUGUACUGAAAUAAUUUUCCUCAUCAUCUUGCAUCGAAAGAAAAUUUGGCACUUGCAAGCUUUGUAGAAUGUGUUGAAAAGAAGUUGUUUUUUUUGUUAAUCCAUUGACUCUUUUCAACAACAAUGUUCGUAUAUGCUUUGUACAUAAAAACCUAGGAGCCAAGGUGGUGCUUUAGCUGAAUGUUCAGUUCAGUACGGUAGUAUUGAAAACAAAGACCCCUAAAACGAAGACCGAAGACCAAAGACCCACUCAAAAACAAAGACCCACUCGAAAACGAAGACCCACUC